rnacentral:rRNA from 1 species
GCUAUUUAGGUUAGAGUUUGAUCAUGGCUCAGGACGAACGCUGGCGGCGCGCUUAACACAUGCAAGUCGAGCGAGAACCAUUCCUUCGGGAAUGGGGACAGCGGCGAACGGGUGAGUAACACGUGGGUAAUCAACCCCUGACACCGGGAUAGCCCGGGGAAACCCGGAUUAAUACCGGAUGCUCCGUCUGGCCCUCGGGCCGGCCGGAAAAGGUAGCUUCGGCCUCCGGUCAGGGACGAGCCCGCGGCGGAUUAGCUUGUUGGCGGGGUAACGGCCCACCAAGGCGACGAUCCGUAGCUGGUCUGAGAGGACGAUCAGCCACACUGGGACUGAGACACGGCCCAGACUCCUACGGGAGGCAGCAGUGGGGAAUCUUGCGCAAUGGGCGAAAGCCUGACGCAGCGACGCCGCGUGAGGGAAGAAGGCCUUCGGGUUGUAAACCUCUUUCAGGAGGGACGAAGCCACUCGGGUUAAUAGCCCAGAGGGUGACGGUACCUCCAGAAGAAGCCCCGGCUAACUACGUGCCAGCAGCCGCGGUAACGCC